rnacentral:rRNA from 1 species
GAUGAACGCUGGCGGCGUGCUUAACACAUGCAAGUCGAACGAAGCAUUUAAGACAGAUUACUUCGGUUUGAAGUCUUUUAUGACUGAGUGGCGGACGGGUGAGUAACGCGUGGGUAACCUGCCUCAUACAGGGGGAUAGCAGCUGGAAACGGCUGGUAAUACCGCAUAAGCGCACAGUACCACAUGGUACAGUGUGAAAAACUCCGGUGGUAUGAGAUGGACCCGCGUCUGAUUAGCUUGUUGGCGGGGUAACGGCCCACCAAGGCGACGUUCAGUAGCCGACCUGAGAGGGUGACCGGCCACAUUGGGACUGAGACACGGCCCAGACUCCUACGGGAGGCAGCAGUGGGGAAUAUUGCACAAUGGAGGAAACUCUGAUGCAGCGACGCCGCGUGAGUGAAGAAGUAGUUCGCUAUGUAAAGCUCUAUCAGCAGGGAAGAUAGUGACGGUACCUGACUAAGAAGCUCCGGCUAAAUACGUG